rnacentral:rRNA from 1 species
UACGAAGGGUGCAAACGUUGCUCGGAAUUAUUGGGCGUAAAGCGCACGUAGGCGGCAUUGCAAGUCGGAUGUGAAAUCCCUCGGCUUAACCAAGGAAGUGCAUCCGAAACUGCAGUGCUUGAGUACUUAAGAGGAUCGCGGAAUUCCCGGUGUAGAGGUGAAAUUCGUAGAUAUCUGGAAGAACACCGGUGGCGAAGGCGGUGGUCUGGGGCAAAACUGACGCUGAGGCGCGAAAGCUAGGGGAGCAAACGGG